rnacentral:lncRNA from 10 species
AAAGAAAAGAGAAAAGGAAAAGACAAGACAAGACAAGACUCUCCAAAGCUUCCCAGUUCGCUUAAACUAAAAUCCACGCCCUCGUGGUGACUCUCAAAGCCCUCUGGGAUCCUGUCCCUGCCCACCUCCUGGAUUUUAUGUGGUCACUCUCUCCCCUCUGCUCAUUCCACUCCAGGACACACUGGCCUUCUUGCUGCCCCUCAAACGUGCCAGAUUCAGAUAACCUGCAUGUGUCAUUCUCUCAACCUGGAAUGUUCCUUCCCCAGGUCUCAGUGGACUUGCUCCUUUUGAUCAUCCAAGUCUCAGCUGUCAUGCAGCAAUCACAGAUGUGUUUGCUGACCACCUGGCCAUAAGUAGCUGCCUGGUCGCUCUCUGUCAUUUGCCACAUACCCUCUAUUACCGCAGACCUGGGAACCAAGCCCUCCCUGCUCAACCUGGAACCAAACCUGCCAGGGUACCCUGCUCUAUCAUCCUUUUUCAUUCUCACCACAGUAUGAGUCUCUCUUUGACAAUGGUAUUUUACUAACUUCCUAUGAUAAGUCACCAGAGUGUCC